rnacentral:rRNA from 1 species
UACGGGGGGGAGCAAGCGUUGUUCGGAUUUACUGGGCGUAAAGGGUGCGUAGGCGGCGCGGUAAGUCGGGUGUGAAAUCUCGGGGCUUAACUCCGAAACUGCAUUCGAUACUACCGUGCUUGAGGACUGGAGAGGAGACUGGAAUUUACGGUGUAGUGGUGAAAUGCGUAGAUAUCGUAAGGAAGACCAGUGGCGAAGGCGGGUCUCUGGACAGUUCCUGACGCUGAGGCACGAAGGCCAGGGGAGCAAACGGG